UACGAAGGGGGCUAGCGUUGCUCGGAAUUACUGGGCGUAAAGCGCACGUAGGCGGAUCUUUAAGUCAGGGGUGAAAUCCUGGAGCUCAACUCCAGAACUGCCUUCGAUACUGGCGAUCUUGAGUCCGGAAGAGGUGAGUGGAACUCCUAGUGUAGAGGUGGAAUUCGUAGAUAUUAGGAAGAACACCAGUGGCGAAGGCGGCUCACUGGUCCGGUACUGACGCUGAGGUGCGAAAGCGUGGGGAGCAAACAGG
rnacentral:rRNA from 1 species